GACUCUGAACAGUGGAUCACUCUGCUCAUGCAUCGAUCAAGAACACAGCUAGCUGCGGGAACUAAUGUGAAUUGCAGGACACAUUAAUCAUCAACACUUUGAACGCACUUUGUGGCCCCGGGUUACUCACAGGGCUAUGCCUGUCUGAGGGUCA